UGCGAGGUAGUGUAACGGUAACACAAUAGCCUCAUGAGCUAUUAUACAAGGUUCGACUCCUUGCCUCGCUU